CUGGAAGCGGUCCGAAAGGAUCGUGCCGCUUGCGGCCGGCGUACAGGUGCUGCAUGGCUGUCGUCAGCUCGUGCUGUGAAGUGUUGGGUAAGUCCCGCAACGAGCGCAACCCCUGCUGUCUGUUGCCACCACGAGAGGUGGGGACUCAGGCGGAACUGCCGGUGACAAACCGGAGGAAGGUGGGGGACGACGUCAAGUCAUCAUGGCCCUUAUGUCCUGGGCUACACACGUGCUACAAUGGCCGGUACAGAGCGCAGCGAGGCCGCGAGGCGGAGCGAAUCGCUUAAAGCCGGUCCCAGUACGGAUUGGAGUCUGCAACCCGACUCCAUGAAGUUGGAAUCGCUAGUAAUCGCGCAUCAGCAUGGCGCGGUGAGUACGUUCCCGGGCCUU
rnacentral:rRNA from 1 species